GCGCUUACUUCUUCCUUUCUUGCCUUGGUGGUCCAUUUGCUAGGGUGUUUUGUUGUUAUGAUCUAGAUUUACUUUCAGUUUCUACUUUGAACUCUGUUAAUUAUGUUCUGCUUUAGCUUCCAGAGAUUUCAGUUAAAUCUGCUGGCUUUUUUUCCAGAGGAUGAUCUUGUAUCCUGCUGGCUUAGUUUCUAGGGAUGUUGUUA
rnacentral:lncRNA from 1 species